rnacentral:rRNA from 1 species
CCUACGGGAGGCAGCAGUGGGGAAUAUUGGACAAUGGGGGGAACCCUGAUCCAGCCAUGCCGCGUGUGUGAAGAAGGCCCUCGGGUUGUAAAGCACUUUCAGUGAGGAAGAACGCCUGGUGGUUAAUACCCAUCAGGAAAGACAUCACUCACAGAAGAAGCACCGGCUAACGCCGUGCCAGCAGCCGCGGUAAUACGGAGGGUGCGAGCGUUAAUCGGAAUUACUGGGCGUAAAGCGCGCGUAGGUGGCUUGAUAAGCCGGUUGUGAAAGCCCCGGGCUCAACCUGGGAACGGCAUCCGGAACUGUCAAGCUAGAGUGCAGGAGAGGAAGGUAGAAUUCCCGGUGUAGCGGUGAAAUGCGUAGAGAUCGGGAGGAAUACCAGUGGCGAAGGCGGCCUUCUGGACUGACACUGACACUGAGGUGCGAAAGCGUGGGUAGCAAACAGGAUUAGAUACCCUUGUAGUC